UACGGAGGGAGCUAGCGUUGUUCGGAAAUACUGGGCGUAAAGCGCACGUAGGCGGCGCAGCAAGUCAGGGGUGAAAUCCCGGGGCUCAACCCCGGAACUGCCCUUGAAACUGCAGUGCUAGAAUUCUGGAGAGGCGAGUGGAAUUCCAGGUGUAGCGGUGAAAUGCGUAGAUAUCUGGAGGAACACCGGUGGCGAAGGCGGCAUCCUGGACCGAGAUUGACGCUGAGGCGCGAAAGCCAGGGGAGCAAACGGG
rnacentral:rRNA from 1 species